UGAGGAAUAUUGGGCAAUGCCCGCAAGGGUGACCCAGCAACGCCGCGUGGAGGAUGAAUGUCGUAAGAUUGUAAACUCCUGUUAGAGGGGAAGAAUAGUACCGGUUGGACCGGUAUAUGACUGUACCCUCAGAGAAAGCCCCGGCUAACUACGUGCCAGCAGCCGCGGUAAUACGUAGGGGGCAAGCGUUGUCCGGAUUUACUGGGUGUAAAGGGCGCGCAGGCGGGAUAAAAAGUCAGUGGUGAAAUCCUACAGCUUAACUGUAGAACUGCCUUUGAUACUUUUAUUCUUGAGUUCGGGAGAGAGAGACGGAAUUCCAGGUGUAGUGGUGAAAUACGUAGAUAUCCGGAAGAACAGCAGUUGCGAAGGCGGUCUCUUGUUCCGACACUGACGCUGAGGCGCGAAAGCGUG
rnacentral:rRNA from 1 species